ACAAAAAGAAGAAAAAUAUCGAAGAUAGAUAAGAUUGGCACGUGAACAUAAACUUCUCAUAACCAUAAUUAACUUUUAAGUUGCUAAAUAAUAAUAUAAAACUGUGCUGACAUAGUUUCAUUGUAACCAAAUAGUAGGCAUGAGAUUCUUCAACCCAAACGUUAGAUUUUUAUGCGAUAAAUAGUUUUUUGACCUAAAAUAUUUUUAAAAAUAUGAUCAGUUCAUUAGUAAACAAAUUAUGUAAUUAACAAAAUAGUUUUUAAAAAAUAUUUAAGAACCAAAUAUAUUAAUUUGAUCAAUAAUAUAAUUUUUUCAUACAAUAUUUCUUAAAUAAUUUUAUAUAAAUUUACCAUGCGCAAGCGCAGGUCUUAUCCUAGUAUAGUAAUAUAGCAAUAAGUCGUAUGUGGACCUUGAAUGAGUGUGGCAUAUUUUGUAAUUAGUUUAGUAAUGAAUGGAGGAUAAAUUAAUAGUGUGAGAAUCAUUGUUAGCAUGCCACCUCAGCAUGACAUGGUUGUAAAUAAGUUACAGUUUAAAGGUUACUCCUUUAAAAUGUUUAUCUAUUAAUAAGAAAAGGAUUACCUUUUCUUAUUAGAGUUUAAAACCAUUAUCAAUUCACUUCUGUCAAAUAUGAUGAAGAAAACCCCUCAACUCUCGUUUACAGUCUUGACUAUCUUCAUCAUUCUUGUGCUAGGAAUGAUGGCAAAUGCAAAUAAAAAAGAAAAUGAACUAUUUUGUAAUGUCCAAGACCACCACUUUGUAAAAAAAAAUGAGUCGUGUGCUGAUUCUGAAUG